rnacentral:rRNA from 1 species
GGAAUCUUCCACAAUGGACGAAAGUCUGAUGGAGCAACGCCGCGUGAGUGAAGAAGGGUUUCGGCUCGUAAAACUCUGUUGUUAAAGAAGAACAUAUCUGAGAGUAACUGUUCAGGUAUUGACGGUAUUUAACCAGAAAGCCACGGCUAACUACGUGCCAGCAGCCGCGGUAAUACGUAGGUGGCAAGCGUUGUCCGGAUUUAUUGGGCGUAAAGCGAGCGCAGGCGGUUUUUUAAGUCUGAUGUGAAAGCCUUCGGCUCAACCGAAGAAGUGCAUCGGAAACUGGGAAACUUGAGUGCAGAAGAGGACAGUGGAACUCCAUGUGUAGCGGUGAAAUGCGUAGAUAUAUGGAAGAACACCAGUGGCGAAGGCGGCCCCCUGGACAAAGACUGACGCUCAGGUGCGAAAGCGUGGGGAGCAAACA